CAGAAGGGACGUGUGCCCCUUCUUUUCUAUAGAACGCAUGGAGAAAUAAGGGGGGCGCCAACACUUGACGCCCUUCUCUUUAUCCCAUCCAACCUUUCGGGAAACCAUAUUUUGAACUUGAAUCCAAUUCAAAUUCAAUUGAAGGAAGUUAAUAGUAACCAAUAAUUGGUGCUUGAUUUAGAGUCCAAUUAGAUUAGGCCG
rnacentral:lncRNA from 1 species